GAUGAACGCUGGCGGCGUGCCUAAUACAUGCAAGUCGAGCGAACAGACCAGGCACUUGCUCCUCUUACGUUAGCGGCGGACGUGUGAGUAACACGUGUAUAACCUACCUAUAAGACUGAGAUAACUUCGGGAAAGCGGAGCUAAUACCGGAUAAUAUAUUGAACCGCAUGGUUCAAUAGUAAGAGACGGUUUUUCUGUCACUUAUAGAUGGAUCUGCGCGGCAUUAGAUAGUUGGUAAGGUCACGGGUUACCAAGGCAACGAGUCGUAGACGACGUGAGAGGCGGAUAGGCCGCACGGGAACGGAACCGGGGUCCAGACUACUAAGGGACGCAGCAGUAUGGUAUGGUACGCAAUGGGCGGAAGUAUGACGCAGCAACGCCGAGUGAGUGACAGAGAUCUUGGGUUCGUAAUACUCUGUUAUUAGGGAAGAACAAAUGUGUAAGUAACUAUGCACGUCUUGACGGUACCUAAUAAGAAAGCAACGGCUAACUACGUG
rnacentral:rRNA from 1 species